GUGUCUAUCGUACCUUGUUGCUUCGGCGGGCCCGCCGUUUCGACGGCCGCCGGGGAGGCCUUGCGCCCCCGGGCCCGCGCCCGCCGAAGACCCCAACAUGAACGCUGUUCUGAAAGUAUGCAGUCUGAGUUGAUUAUCGUAAUCAGUUAAAACUUUCAACAACGGAUCUCUUGGUUCCGGCAUCGAUGAAGAACGCAGCGAAAUGCGAUAAGUAAUGUGAAUUGCAGAAUUCAGUGAAUCAUCGAGUCUUUGAACGCACAUUGCGCCCCCUGGUAUUCCGGGGGGCAUGCCUGUCCGAGCGUCAUUGCUGCCCUCAAGCACGGCUUGUGUGUUGGGCCCCCGUCCCCCUCUCCCGGGGGACGGGCCCGAAAGGCAGCGGCGGCACCGCGUCCGGUCCUCGAGCGUAUGGGGCUUUGUCACCUGCUCUGUAGGCCCGGCCGGCGCCAGCCGACACCCAACUUUAUUUUUCUAAGGUUGACCUCGGAUCAGGUAGGGAUACCCGCUGAACUUAAGCAUAUCAUAACGGAAGA
rnacentral:rRNA from 1 species